UGAACCAAUGAUGAUUAUGUCACAAAGCAAAAAUUAUGAUUAAUCUAGUUUUGUUCACC
rnacentral:snoRNA from 1 species